UACGAAGGGGGCUAGCGUUGUUCGGAAUCACUGGGCGUAAAGCGCACGUAGGCGGAUCUUUAAGUCAGAGGUGAAAUCCCAAGGCUCAACCCUUGGAACUGCCUUUGAUACUGGGGAUCUUGAGUCCGGGAGAGGUGAGUGGAACUGCGAGUGUAGAGGUGAAAUUCGUAGAUAUUCGCAAGAACACCAGUGGCGAAGGCGGCUCAGCUGGCCCGG
rnacentral:rRNA from 1 species